rnacentral:miRNA from 10 species
AAUACAGGAUGCCCAGGUAAAUGUGAAUUUCAGAUAAGCAAUGAAUAAUCUUUCAGUAUAAGUAUGUCUUGUGCAAUAUUUGGGACAUACUUAUACAAAAAAGUUAUUUUUUUAUCUGAAAUUUGAAUAAUUGGACAUCCUGUAUUUU